GUGUUUGAUGAAAGGAGAGGGUUAGCACUUCCUUGACAAGGAUGGAUGUCAGCCCGACAACACACAUAUAUAUGGUAACGCAUUGCCACCUACUUGGUGUCGUCUAACCAUGGUUUUUAU